UACGGAGGGUGCAAGCGUUAUCCGGAUUUACUGGGUUUAAAGGGUGUGUAGGCGGACUAUUAAGUCCGUGGUGAAAUCUCCGGGCUCAACCCGGAAACUGCCAUGGAUACUAUUAGUCUUGAAUGUUGUGGAGGUGGGCGGAACGGGUCAUGUAGCGGUGAAAUGCUUAGAGAUGACCCGGAACACCGAUUGCGAAGGCAGCCCACUACGCAACUAUUGACGCUGAGGCACGAAAGCGUGGGGAUCAAACAGG
rnacentral:rRNA from 1 species